rnacentral:rRNA from 1 species
AGCAGCCGCGGUAAUUCCAGCUCCAAUAGCGUAUAUUAAAGUUGUUGCAGUUAAAAAGCUCGUAGUUGAAUUUCGGGAUUUGUCGGUUGGUCGGGCUUCACUGUCCGCACUGACCUGACGGAUUCCUACCUUCUGAAUAACCAGCAUGCUAUUAAUUUAGUGCGUUGGGGAAGCAGAGCUAUUACCUUGAAAAAAUUAGAGUGCUUAAAGCAGGCUUGUGCUUGAAUAGAUUAGCAUGGAAUAAUAAAAUAGGACGGCAUGGUUCUAUUUUGUUGGUUUCUAGGAUCACCGUAAUGAUUAAUAGGGAUAGUUGGGGGCAUUAGUAUUCAAUUGUCAGAGGUGAAAUUCUUGGAUUUAUUGAAGACUAACUUCUGCGAAAGCAUUUGCCAAGGAUGUUUUCAUUAAUCAAGAACGAAAGUUAGGGGAUCGAAGACGAUCAGAUACCGUCGUAGUCUUAACCAUAAACUAUGCCGACUAGGGAUCGGACGAUGUUAAUUUUUUAAUGACUCG